rnacentral:rRNA from 1 species
UACAGAGGGUGCGAGCGUUGUUCGGAAUUAUUGGGCGUAAAGGGCGCGUAGGCGGUGCGGUAAGUCACCUGUGAAAUCUCCUGGCUCAACUGGGAGCUUGCAGGCGAAACUGCCGUGCUGGAGUGUGGGAGAGGUGCGUGGAAUUCCCGGUGUAGCGGUGAAAUGCGUAGAUAUCGGGAGGAACAACUGUGGCGAAAGCGGCGCACUGGACCACAACUGACGCUGAGGCGCGAAAGCUAGGGGAGCAAACAGG